CCGGUGGUCGGCUCAUCCAAUAGGAUCACCCCUGCAAUGACAUCACCCCAAUGACAUCAUCACCCUCACGCAGUCUUGUCGCAUCAUCGAAGCUUCGAGAACAAGAGAAAGGCAGGACAAUAACUUUUUUCUUCGUUUAAGUUGGAAACUUUUAAAUGUACUUUUUGUUGCUGCAGGACUCUCGGCGGGGCCAACUUAACUCGUCAAGAUAAUCUAAUCCUGAAUGAGGACUGAGACCCUUCAUCGUCCCUGGAGGACUGCAGACCUGAUAAACCACACCUGGGAUGAGCACAGGCACACUCACACACACAGAGCGUGGACUUCUAAAACUCUUCGGGGAGAGAUGGGUCUUGUGGUGAACUUUCUUCUGUUCUCAGGAUGGCGCAGUCCUGCCUCCAGUUGCUUCCAACAGUAGGGUACCCACGUGGGUCCUGAAGCAGCUGGCUGGCAAUGGAGACCCUCCUCCUCUCGCCCCCAGAGAUCCCCGGGAACACACGGCCUCCGAUAACACUGU